AAGUAAAAGGAACUUGGCAAACAUAAACCCCACCUGUUUACCAAAAACAUCACCUCCAGCAUCCCCAGUAUUGGAGGCACUGCCAGCCCAGAGACAAUCGUUAAAGGGCUGCGGUAUCCUGACCAUGCAAAGGUAGCAUAAUCAUUUGUUCUCUAAAUAAGAACUUGAAUGAAUGACCACACGAGGGUUUUACUGUCUCUUACUU
rnacentral:ncRNA from 1 species